AUGUUCUCUCUAGCUUUGCUGCUGCUGCUGGCUGCAGGAUCCUGUGUGAAGUGUGAACAGCUGACUCAGCCAGACUCUGUGACUGUGCAGCCAGGUCAUCGUCUGACCAUCAGCUGUCAGGUCUCUUAUUCUCCCAGCAGCUACUGGACACACUGGAUCCGACAACCAGCAGGGAAAGGACUGGAAUGGAUCGGGAGGAAAAGUACUGGAGGAUCUGCCUAUAAAAAUUCACUGAAAACCAAGUUCAGUAUUGACUCAGACACUUCCAGUAAAACAGUGACUCUGAAUGGACAGAACAUGCAGCCUGAAGACUCUGCUGUGUAUUAUUGUGCCAGACAGUCACACAGUGUGAAGUGUGAACAGCUGAUUCAGCCGGCCUCUGUGACUGUGCAGCCAGGUCAUCGACUGACCAUCAGCUGUCAGGUCUCUUAUUCUGUUAGCGACUAUUGGACACACUGGAUCAGACAAACUGCUGGGAAAGCACUGGAGUGGAUUGGAGAUGCACAAGUUGGAGGUUCAUCAGACUACAACAAGUCACAUAAAAACAAGUUCAGCAUUUCUGCAGACUCUACCAGUCAAACAGUGACUCUGAAUGGACAGAACAUGCAGCCUGAAGACUCUGCUGUGUAUUAUUGUGCCAGAAAGACACAGUGA